AAGAUUUCAGGAAGGCUCACACCAGGAACACCCGCAGGGGUGGUGAGGGAAGCAUGGCUGGGAAGCAUCGCGUUUGGAGCUCCCACAGCACCACGCAUGGGAGACUCGUGCUUACCUAAAGCUUCAGCAUUGCAAACUCCCAUAAUUGGUUGGUAACGUCAAAUUUACAGGAGCAGAUGUGCUUAUAGGUGGUUGCAGUGUGUUUGCUGCUUCCCCAGCAGCUCCUUGAGGACCCUUCAGGCGUGGAGCUGGCAGCACCACACAUCCGUCUCCAUCUGCCUUCAUGCGCUGCAUACAAGUUGGACGUUUCGAGCAGCAAAACCCACUUGGAUCCUGCAGUUAUUUUCACAUAGGGUCCGCUUUCUGCAACUUGUGCUCUCCCAGGUGUGUGUUAUCAGGCAUACCCCACUCCCAUGAAAGCCACUCUGCUAAGUGGAAGCUGCAGCAUGGCAGGCAAUGGGUUCUGGAGGAGGAAAACCAGCUGCAGGUGAUUUCUCUACAGGUGGACCCUGUAAGGAGGGAAGGGGGGGGCUUGGCAAGGCUAUAGAAGCCACUGGGGCUGUCCAGAAGGAAGGAGGUUGUUUUCAACUUCCAAGGCAGUCUAGUGAGCACGGGAGAUGUGACACUGAAGGAUACUUGUGGAUGGUGCAUGCAGCACUCAGGAGACCUCCUUUCCUGUUUCCCUUCCUGGGAAGGCAACGUAUGACCUGAGACAGAGGAACGUGGGUGCCACUUCUGCCUGCACAGAGGUCAGGUGCUUUGCCUGCCAGAUUGAGGCUUUCUCUGCACACAGCAGAGGAAAAAUGUGGGGUGAAACACAGGUUGGUGAAACCUCUUCCCAGCCUGGCUCACACAUCACACACCCACUGCUCCAGCUGUCCCUGUGGCCAGCACCCUCCUGCCUGCACAUCAGCAAGGAGAGCUGUCUGCACUUGUUUCUACCCUGGGAUCCCAAAAUGAGGCCAGAUUUUGCAUCGGUUGAGGUUGCUGAGCUAAAAGGAUGACGCAGAGCCAUUGCCAUGGAGACAGAAAGCCAAGUGUCCCUUGUCUGCCCAGAACAGAUACACUGAAUCCUGCUUCCAUGUCAGCAGAAAGAGAAUUACUGUCUCAGAUUAUAAAUUAAUUAAAUCAGAUUUGGAGUCUCUAGACAGCAUUGCUGCCCUGUAGCAAUACAUUAAAUCAAUGAAACUCUCUAGCCCGUGCUGGAACCUUUGAGUGGGAGAAGGAGCAAUGGGUCUUCCAGCCUUGAGACCUAUGCAAGAGAGCAGAUGGUUUGCCCUCCAGAAAAUGUGACAUAGAGAGACAGGAUGCAACCCAGUGCAUGAAAAUCAUGUGGUAAUGACAGAAGUUGACACCGCUUGGCUUGCGAAUGGAAGAGCCUGCCCACCUGUGUGCUUGGCCAUCCCUGGCUUUCCAGGCAGCCCCACCAUUUGUGUCAGAGAAGAUUUUUUUUUUUUUUUUUUUUUUUUUUUUUGACAAGAUUCUGCACAGCUCUGCAUCUGGCUGAUGGAUUUCCUGCAACCCCGCUGCAUGGAUUGCAUGUCAUCCCCCUGCCCCUGUCCCCAGCACACCCUGAAAAACUGUGGUCAGACACAAGUAUGUGGGGAAGGAUGGCUGAACUUCUCCUGGCUGGGGUAAGGCAGGGCUUGCCCCAUACAGGGCAAGCACUCCUUGCUCGGUGCAGAGUCUGCUUGCUCUGGGCUAAUUACAUGGAGCCAGUGUGGGUCUGAUCCAGCCUGGAAGCUCUUCUCACCUGAAAUGCCUUUGCUGUGGUGUUUUUUACAUGUUGCUAUAAUACCCAGCUCUGUCUUUUUCAUCUUAUCCUCAGAAACCCGCUGUUUUCCCCAGUGUCAUGAGAAGCUCUCCUCUAACAUUCUUGCAGUUAAUAAAAUCAAAGAGAUGCCACUUCCAUUAAGAAAGCAGCAACACACCAGAAGGAAAAUGAGCUGCCAACUGCAGCCCUGCUCGGCAGUGUCCUUCUCACUGCUCUGCCUGUAAAGCCCCAAGCACCCCAGCAGACACUAAGGCCUGCCAAGUCAAUGGGAAAACUUGAUGGAGUAAGACUUUUACCCAAUGCACCUCCUUUUUUUUUUAAUUUUUUUAUUUUUUAAAUGGCAAUAUGAUGGCUGCCUGUCCUGCUAAGGCAGAGACAUGUCAGAAUGUCACUUCUGAGCUACCAAAGCAGAACAGUGUCUAUGUGUUAGCUGGGCUGGGGUUCAGCUCAGGAUGUGUGGCUGGGCCACCUUCACCCUCUGUUGACAUGAUGUCCUCAUGCCUUGUGGGCGCUGUGACACCAUCUGCAGGAGGGUGGAAAAUAGGGGGCUGAGCAUGGCUGUGAGAAAUGGCAACUUUGGGUUUGGUCAGCUGGGGUUAACACUGUCAGUACCUUGGUAAUGCAAAUAUUUGCAAACACAGAUUUUGCCUGUGACAAAAAACCUCCCUAGUUGCAAGCUUGCCAAGGGACUUGGUGCCCUGAAAAGACAGAACCAAAUGAGGCCAAGUGCAAGAUUUAGGUUGCUGGAGAAAAGAAGGUUUGGACAAAACCUUCAAUGGAUCAAACUUCACAGCUAACAGUGUCCAAAGGAAGCAGUGAUAAAAUCAUGGUAAAUGAGGACUCUCUUCAAAGUCACUGCCACUAAGAGUGGCUCUACAGGCAGUUUCUGGAUCCUUCUGCACCGCAGACCUUCUGUGUCAUGGCUGUGGCUCAGCCCAUUACAAAGAAAAUAGAAGAGAUGUAAAAUUCAGAACCAAAGAUCAAAAAUAAAAAAUAAUAAAAAAAAAUCAGAAUCCAGGUUCACGUAGUGCUGAGGUUUAUUUGCCUCUCACCACAGCCUGCAUCUUGUGAGCUCCUGAAAGCAGUGUUCACUGCACAGCUUGGCAAAGCCAGCCACAAGCACAGUGCCCUGCAGCGGUGACCAAACUGGAAAUCAGAUAUCAGGCAGCAUCCCACUUAAACACAGCACACGUGAUCCAUACUUCAGGCUACUUUCCAGUAUCUCCAGAAAGAGAUCUUUUAAUUGAAAGCCUUAAUGUUUCUUGUUAUAUUUAAAAUUAGAGCGGAACAGCAAUAAAAUUGGUCAUGGAAUAGAGACAAGUUUUAAAAGAGAAAAUGAAAUGUAUUUUUCCUUUUUACGUUGGAGCCCCCUUUAGAAACCCAUGCACAUAUAAUACAUCAGUGUAAGGAUUAAUAAUUAAAGGAAUAACAACCUCUUGUCUCUGCGAUGCACACAAGAAAGCAACAAUUCAGGCUGGAGGCUGCACUCUCUGGGGACAUGCUGUUUUUGCUGGCAUUUCACCUCUGCCUGGUGCUCCUUCUUUAUAUAGAGAAGUGCUUUCCUGCAUCCUCUACCAAGGACCAUAUUGCCUAGCAAUUUGCAGCUGAUGGUUCACCUCAGCAUUAACCUGGGAAACUGUAUCUAUGCUUGCCAUCAGGUUGAUUUUGGAGGUGUUCACAGAAAUCGUAAGUUAUUUGGAUAGAUGUGUUUUGGGGUGAAACCCUCCUGCCACCAGCAGGAACCCUCGCAGUGUGGUGGUGCUGCUCCAGCUAACCAGACAGCCUGAGGCUGGUGCAACUCGGAGCUGCGGCUACCCAAGACUUGUGGUAAAGGCUCCAAAACUGCUUUCUCUUGCUUCCCCAGAGCCAGAUGGAUGUCAACAGGCUACUGCGACGAGACGGAGCCUCUCCGUUCCUCAGCGUGGCCCCGGGCCAAGCAGACGCCCGAGCGCGCCGCUCUGCAGAGCUGCCCUGCGGCGCCAUCCAGCACGCGCCCUCGCCAUGCUCAGGAGCACCUCAUCGGGUGCUGAAGGCUCAGCCCCCAGGGUGUUGGCAUGAUUUGAAGCUCAGGUCCAUCUCUGACUUGAAUGCAGUUUCACUGACCAGGCCUCAAGCAUGAUUCCCCUCCCUCCCCAUCUUUCCUUCCUCCAUAUUGGUAGUCUCCUCGUUCAUUAAAAAAAAAAAACUACUAAUUAUCUCAGCAGCUUGGAACUGGGUUGCAGCAUGGAAUUAAAACCAGCUUUUCAUUUUGGCAUCCCCAGCCUUGUGUAAUUAAUAAGAAAAGAGAAAGCCAGAACAUGCAGGUCAGCCCUGAGUGUGAGGAGGAGAUCGAUUGGACACAGCCAGCACCAGCCGUGAUGCUCUGAAGCUGGCCUCGGUGAUGGUGGGUUGCAUUUUGGGGCCAAACCAGGAAAAAAGUGGAGGAGAUGAAGUUCUUUCUUUCCUGAUUGUUCCUCUUUGUUUUUUUGUCAUUUGAGCUUAAAAUCUGGACCAAGUUGAGCUCAGUGCAAGCCCUGGUUUUUUUGCCACUCAAAUCUUCUGCACCUCUUUGCUGGGGAAGGAAUGGGAAAGCGAUCUGUCAAGGCUUGACCACGUGUUUCCAUUGUGUGCCAUGCUGGGAAGAUCAGGAUGCUCCAAGAGAGUGGACUGUUGGAGAUGGAUGCUUUGAUGGAGAUCUGGAAGACCCCUGAAGGAACCCAAUGGUUAGGAAGUUAAAGGUGGGAUCAAUACCACUUGCGCUCCCACCGGUGGCAGAUCCUCUUCUGGCCACCUUGGCACAAGCAAGCAGUCACCAUGUCCAAAUGGGAAUGCUCCUGAUGGCCAUGCAACGCUGGGGUGAUGCAGCCCUUCCCUGUGGCCACCCAGUGUGGGAGGGCAGAGCCUUUGGGCACCAACACUGGCAUCCAGGAGAGGCGGCAGCACUAGGACAGAGGGGACAAGACCCUCCUCCCGCCUUGCCAGAGCUGCCAGGAGCUUGUAGAAAGCAAACUUUCCUCCCUCCGUCUCGCCACGCUGCCAAUAGCAUCUCUGCUCGCGAGGGCCGUGCCUGCUCUCCAAAGAACUGAUUUACAAUUUGUUGCUGCUGUCACCGAGGAACUCCUGCUGCUGCUUACUACAGGCUUGCUGGAUUGCCAGGAUGGUCCCGAUGGCAGCCGAAUUGCUGCUGGAGCUGGCAGGCCGGAGCAGGAGAGCAUCGCUCCUGGGGAGCAACAACACCAAAUUGGGGUUCUAGCCCUUUAAAUCCGACCCGGUACUGGAAAAAAAAAAAAAAAAAAAAAAGAGCGAAGAGGCAAGCAGGAGAGAGCCUUCAGACUCUUUUAAUUAACGCUUGUUCUCUAUUCUGUCUUCCCAAGUAGCGGUAGGCACUCUCGCUUCUUCCGGACGACCUCGGGGCUCGCCAGCACCGCGGCAUGGCCAGGGGCAGCCGCUCACCUGGGACCGGCGGCAGCAGAGUCGCACUGCUGGCUUCGCUCUCCCCAUGAUGAGCUCGGGCACCUCCGUGAACCUGCCGCCGCGUCUGCCUGAUGGGGCUGAUCGAAGAGCGUGGAGAGGGGCAGCCCAAGCAUGAAGGUGGCCGAGGGGACGAGUCACCCGGGGAGACAGAGGAGCUGCAGCAGAGGAGCAGGCAACCAGAGUUUCCU